UAUAAAUGGAUGGAUUUAUAGUCUGAAGAAACUCAUAUACUGUGUGUUGUCAUCAGCUUCUACUUGUAUAUUAUUGAUGGGUUUGGAGUUAAAUAACAGCACUAUAUAU